AGAAUCAACGCUGGCGGCGUGCCUAACACAUGCAAGUCGCACGAGAAAGGGGAGCAAUCCCUGAGUAAAGUGGCGCACGGGUGAGUAACACGUGAAUCAUCUACCUCCGAGUGGGGAAUAACUGAGAGAAAUCUUAGCUAAUACCGCAUAACACUUACGAGUCAAAGCAGCAAUGCGCUUGGAGAGGAGUUCGCGGCAGAUUAGUUAGUUGGCGGGGUAAUGGCCCACCAAGACGAUGAUCUGUAUCCGGCCUGAGAGGGCGCACGGACACACUGGAACUGAAACACGGUCCAGACUCCUACGGGAGGCAGCAGUGGGGAAUUUUGCGCAAUGGGGGAAACCCUGGCGCAGCAACGCCGCGUGGAGGAUGAAGCCCCUUGGGGUGUAAACUCCUUUCGAUCGGGAAGAUAAUGACGGUACCGAUAUAAGAAGCCCGGCUAACUUCGUGCCAGCAGCCGC
rnacentral:rRNA from 1 species